GGGUUGUGAGGUUAAGCGACUAAGCGUACACGGUGGAUGCCCUGGCAGUCAGAGGCGAUGAAGGACGUGCUAAUCUGCGAUAAGCGUCGGUAAGGUGAUAUGAACCGUUAUAACCGGCGAUUUCCGAAUGGGGAAACCCAGUGUGAUUCGUCACACUAUCAUUAACUGAAUCCAUAGGUUAAUGAGGCGAACCGGGGGAACUGAAACAUCUAAGUACCCCGAGGAAAAGAAAUCAACCGAGAUUCCCCCAGUAGCGGCGAGCGAACGGGGAGCAGCCCAGAGCCUGAAUCAGUGUGUGUGUUAGUGGAAGCGUCUGGAAAGGCGCGCGAUACAGGGUGACAGCCCCGUACACAAAAAUGCACAUGCUGUGAGCUCGAUGAGUAGGGCGGGACACGUGGUAUCCUGUCUGAAUAUGGGGGGACCAUCCUCCAAGGCUAAAUACUCCUGACUGACCGAUAGUGAACCAGUACCGUGAGGGAAAGGCGAAAAGAACCCCGGCGAGGGGAGUGAAAAAGAACCUGAAACCGUGUACGUACAAGCAGUGGGAGCACGCUUAGGCGUGUGACUGCGUACCUUUUGUAUAAUGGGUCAGCGACUUAUAUUCUGUAGCAAGGUUAACCGAAUAGGGGAGCCGAAGGGAAACCGAGUCUUAACUGGGCGUUAAGUUGCAGGGUAUAGACCCGAAACCCGGUGAUCUAGCCAUGGGCAGGUUGAAGGUUGGGUAACACUAACUGGAGGACCGAACCGACUAAUGUUGAAAAAUUAGCGGAUGACUUGUGGCUGGGGGUGAAAGGCCAAUCAAACCGGGAGAUAGCUGGUUCUCCCCGAAAGCUAUUUAGGUAGCGCCUCGUGAAUUCAUCUCCGGGGGUAGAGCACUGUUUCGGCAAGGGGGUCAUCCCGACUUACCAACCCGAUGCAAACUGCGAAUACCGGAGAAUGUUAUCACGGGAGACACACGGCGGGUGCUAACGUCCGUCGUGAAGAGGGAAACAACCCAGACCGCCAGCUAAGGUCCCAAAGUCAUGGUUAAGUGGGAAACGAUGUGGGAAGGCCCAGACAGCCAGGAUGUUGGCUUAGAAGCAGCCAUCAUUUAAAGAAAGCGUAAUAGCUCACUGGUCGAGUCGGCCUGCGCGGAAGAUGUAACGGGGCUAAACCAUGCACCGAAGCUGCGGCAGCGACACUAUGUGUUGUUGGGUAGGGGAGCGUUCUGUAAGCCUGUGAAGGUGUACUGUGAGGUAUGCUGGAGGUAUCAGAAGUGCGAAUGCUGACAUAAGUAACGAUAAAGCGGGUGAAAAGCCCGCUCGCCGGAAGACCAAGGGUUCCUGUCCAACGUUAAUCGGGGCAGGGUGAGUCGACCCCUAAGGCGAGGCCGAAAGGCGUAGUCGAUGGGAAACAGGUUAAUAUUCCUGUACUUGGUGUUACUGCGAAGGGGGGACGGAGAAGGCUAUGUUGGCCGGGCGACGGUUGUCCCGGUUUAAGCGUGUAGGCUGGUUUUCCAGGCAAAUCCGGAAAAUCAAGGCUGAGGCGUGAUGACGAGGCACUACGGUGCUGAAGCAACAAAUGCCCUGCUUCCAGGAAAAGCCUCUAAGCAUCAGGUAACAUCAAAUCGUACCCCAAACCGACACAGGUGGUCAGGUAGAGAAUACCAAGGCGCUUGAGAGAACUCGGGUGAAGGAACUAGGCAAAAUGGUGCCGUAACUUCGGGAGAAGGCACGCUGAUAUGUAGGUGAAGUCCCUCGCGGAUGGAGCUGAAAUCAGUCGAAGAUACCAGCUGGCUGCAACUGUUUAUUAAAAACACAGCACUGUGCAAACACGAAAGUGGACGUAUACGGUGUGACGCCUGCCCGGUGCCGGAAGGUUAAUUGAUGGGGUCAGCGCAAGCGAAGCUCUUGAUCGAAGCCCCGGUAAACGGCGGCCGUAACUAUAACGGUCCUAAGGUAGCGAAAUUCCUUGUCGGGUAAGUUCCGACCUGCACGAAUGGCGUAAUGAUGGCCAGGCUGUCUCCACCCGAGACUCAGUGAAAUUGAACUCGCUGUGAAGAUGCAGUGUACCCGCGGCAAGACGGAAAGACCCCGUGAACCUUUACUAUAGCUUGACACUGAACAUUGAGCCUUGAUGUGUAGGAUAGGUGGGAGGCUUUGAAGUGUGGACGCCAGUCUGCAUGGAGCCGACCUUGAAAUACCACCCUUUAAUGUUUGAUGUUCUAACGUUGACCCGUAAUCCGGGUUGCGGACAGUGUCUGGUGGGUAGUUUGACUGGGGCGGUCUCCUCCUAAAGAGUAACGGAGGAGCACGAAGGUUGGCUAAUCCUGGUCGGACAUCAGGAGGUUAGUGCAAUGGCAUAAGCCAGCUUGACUGCGAGCGUGACGGCGCGAGCAGGUGCGAAAGCAGGUCAUAGUGAUCCGGUGGUUCUGAAUGGAAGGGCCAUCGCUCAACGGAUAAAAGGUACUCCGGGGAUAACAGGCUGAUACCGCCCAAGAGUUCAUAUCGACGGCGGUGUUUGGCACCUCGAUGUCGGCUCAUCACAUCCUGGGGCUGAAGUAGGUCCCAAGGGUAUGGCUGUUCGCCAUUUAAAGUGGUACGCGAGCUGGGUUUAGAACGUCGUGAGACAGUUCGGUCCCUAUCUGCCGUGGGCGCUGGAGAACUGAGGGGGGCUGCUCCUAGUACGAGAGGACCGGAGUGGACGCAUCACUGGUGUUCGGGUUGUCAUGCCAAUGGCACUGCCCGGUAGCUAAAUGCGGAAGAGAUAAGUGCUGAAAGCAUCUAAGCACGAAACUUGCCCCGAGAUGAGUUCUCCCUGACUCCUUGAGAGUCCUGAAGGAACGUUGAAGACGACGACGUUGAUAGGCCGGGUGUGUAAGCGCAGCGAUGCGUUGAGCUAACCGGUACUAAUGAACCGUGAGGCUUAACCUUACAACGCCGAAGGUGUUU
rnacentral:rRNA from 2 species